GCUGCUUCAGUUUCCUCCUCCCAAAGCUUCAGACCGUGCACAAGUUCAAUCUAAAGAAGUCAGGCGACCGGAUUCUUCAACAAUAACGCUCGAUGAUCAGGACGUCGAAAUUACUUUAAAAUUGAGCGAUGACCUCCAUCUGAAUGAAAUAGAUUGUGUGCAUCUACUUGUUGCUGCACAUCAAGAGUGGGAUUUAACAGAACGAGAUCCUUCAGAGAUUUUCCG
rnacentral:misc_RNA from 1 species